AGUGGGUUGGGGCCGCCGCUAGGGGUUCUCCCCUCGCUAGGUCCCCACCAGGCGGGUGAACGUGCUCGCUGAGGGUCUUCCCCACUAGGACUUAAGCCCCAUGGAGGUGGGAGGAACUGUUUCCGUCCACUUCUUACCUACUGUCUGUAUGUACAGUACCUACUGUGCACAGCAGCUCAGUAAAGGCUUCGCUGAGUGAGCGGCCGGAAAGAUCUGACCAGCGCUCCGGGCCGGCAUUCAAAUUAGAGUCGAAUUUGGGCUGAGACUCUGCCCCUGGGUCUCACCGGACCCUGCCCAUCUUUGAAGAUGCCUCCUACCUGAGGCUGGAAGAUAGCUAGGUUUCCGCAAAUCCUCAGAAGAAAAGAAAAAUAUAAAAGAAAACCAAGUUCCAGCCAGGUCCAAAGUUUUGAAAUUAGCAAAUAUCCCCUCCCCAAAACUAACUGCUUUGCCUGAAGAGGUCUUGUCCUCGUGGUAAGGGAAAAUGAGAAACUGUUGCUAGAAGUUUCCAGGCAGGUACUGCUAAAAAAAAGUCAUUAGGCUCCUGUGCUAACCUCUUGCUCUGAAAACUGCUAACCACUUUACCAAAGGAAAUUUCCCAUCCUUCCCACCAGCCAGUUACCUUCACGAAUCACUCUGCACCCCCAUGAAGGCUGGGAGUUUGACAAGCAGGGUCUGUCUUUGCAGACCAGUUGUCUUUUUGCCCACGCUCUCAACUUUAGCGUCUUCCUAAAUUGUGGUUUUGCAGGUCGUGUUUAGGGGAGGGAGAAGAAUCUUCCCUUCCUGGAGAGCUGCCUUGGGGGACAGAAUAAUGAAGAUGCCUCAGUCGCUGGGCUUGCUCAGGCCUCAGGCACCCAGAGUGGCACAGAGCAUCAAGCUGUGCCUCUCGGACACCCAGAUAAACGGCAUCUGAGCUUCCUGCAAAGUCACAGAGCAAAUGUGAAUACAUACAAACCUACCGACCCAUGUCUAAUACCUGGACUUCUGGGUAAACUGGCUCAGACCACGGCAGGAACGUGAUGGAGGCCUGGACAGCAGGACAACAGAGUGCCUAGGACCGGAUUCUCUUUUAGAGACAGUGAAGUAGUCACAAACAACGCGACGUAAUGUAUAUGGGAUUUGCUUCAGAACAACUCAGUAGUGGACGGAAGCACUGAAAGUCGGGAAGAAACAGGGUCAGCCCUGAGGCGGUCAUCAGUGACUCUGGAUCAUGGGUACAUGAGCGCCUGUGCUAUUCUCUC
rnacentral:lncRNA from 1 species